AGAUUUGACUAUAUUUUUUUAUUUCAUUCAAGAUUUAUCUCAAGCUCAAUAUCUUUGGACAGUUUACUUAUUACCAUUUAUCUUUAGUUUGAUAUCGUGAUUAACUUAAUUAAGCGGUUUCAAGUGGAUUCAAUUAAUUGUAAUAAAUUAAUCUAUCGAGUCUGAAUGAAUCUUUUCGGAACGAAUGUGAUGCGUAAAUAAACAAAACGCACGAGAGCGAUUGAUUUCAUUUCGAUACUCGUCCUUAAAAGUCGUAUUGGUUGCAUGUUUUCGUGUAUCACUAGUAAAAUCUCCCAGUGGAUAUGAGUCGACAAUUUCAAUGUCACGAGAUUGCGAAUAAAGAAUAUCUUCAUGUGGUCAAGAGAUAUAUAGAUAUAUAGUUGGGUUUAUAAAUAUCACUCACAAAAAAUGGACAAGAAUGUAGUCGCAGAAUCGCCAGAAAAGAAUUGAAUUUUUUGUGGCGUGAAAAAAUGCUUCCAUCCCUGUUGAUUUAGUAAAUUUUUUUGAUUUGAGAAAACUUUCUCUUUGGAUUGUGUUCCUAUGAAAUUGAAGAAAUUUAAUAAAAUUACAAUAAUUAGAUUAUAUUCUA